UACGGAAGGCAGCAGGGGGAAUAUUGCACAAUGGGCGAAAGCCUGAUGCAGCUAUGCCGCGUGUAUGAAGAAGGCCUUAGGGUUGUAAAGUACUUUCAUCGGGGAGGAAAAACAAAACUAAUAAUUUUAUUUCUUGACGUUACCCGAAAAAGAAGCACCGGCUAACUCCGUGCCAGCAGCCGCGGUAAUACGGAGGGUGCUAGCGUUAAUCAGAAUUACUGGGCGUAAAGAGCACGUAGGUGGUUUUUUUAAGUCAGAUGUGAAAUCCCUGGGCUUAACCUAGGAACUGCAUUUUGAAACUGAAAUACUAGAGUAUCGUAGAGGGAGGUAGAAUUCUAGGUGUAGCGGUGAAAUGCGUAGAUAUCUGGAGGAAUACCUGUGGCGAAAGCGGCCUCCUAAACGAAUACUGACACUGAGGGUGCGAAAGCGUGGGGAGCAAACAGGGAUUAGGAUACC
rnacentral:rRNA from 1 species